rnacentral:rRNA from 1 species
CAGUAGCCGCGGGAAUACGAAGGGGGCUAGCGUUGUUCGGAAUUACUGGGCGUAAAGGGCGCGUAGGCGGCCAUUCAAGUUAGAUGUGAAAGCCCUGGGCUCAACCUAGGAAUUGCAUUUGAUACUGUUUGGCUUGAGUUCGGGAGAGGUGAGUGGAAUUCCCAGUGUAGAGGUGAAAUUCGUAGAUAUUGGGAAGAACACCAGCGGCGAAGGCGGCUCACUGGACCGACACUGACGCUGAGGCGCGAAAGCGUGGGGAGCAAACAGGAUUAGAUACCCCCGUAGUCCCUGUCUCUUAUAC